rnacentral:rRNA from 1 species
GACGAACGCUGGCGGCGUGCUUAACACAUGCAAGUCGAACGGAAAGGCCCUGCUUUUGUGGGGUGCUCGAGUGGCGAACGGGUACGUAACACGUGAGUAACCUGCCCUUGACUUUGGGAUAACUUAAGGAAACUGGGGCUAAUACCGGAUAGGAGCUCCUGCUGCAUGGUGGGGGUUGGAACGUUGCGGCGGUUGGGGAUGGACUCGCGGCUUAUCAGCUUGUUGGUGGGGUAGUGGCUUACCCAGGCUUUGACGGGUCGCCGGCCUGAGAGGGUGACCGGGGACAUUGGGACUGAGGUAGGGCCCAGACUCCUACGGGAGGCAGCAGUGGGGAAUAUUGCACAAUGGGCGGAAGCCUGAUGCAGCAACGCCGCGUGCGGGAUGACGGCCUGCGGGGUGUAAACCGCUUUCGCCUGUGACGAAGCGGGAGUGACGGUAAUGGGUAAAGAAGCACCGGCUAACUACGUG